GCCUCUAGUCCAGCUCUCAGAAAUGGGGUCAGCUGCUCUUCUGCCUUGUGUGCUGUUGCUCUGGGUUUCAGGAUCCACUGCGGACAUUGUGCUGACCCAGUCACCAGCUUCUUUGGCUUUGUCUCUAGGGCAGAAGGCUACCAUCUCCUGCAAGGCCAGCCAGAGUGUUACUGCAUAUGGCUCUAAUUAUAUGCACUGGUAUCAACAUAAACCAGGACAGCCUCUCAAGCUCUUGAUCUACAGAGCAUCCAAUCUAGAAUCCGGGGUUCCUGCCAGAUUCAGUGGCAGUGGGUCUGGGACAGAUUUCACCCUCACCAUUAAUCCUGUGGAGGCCGAUGAUGCUGCAACCUAUUACUGUCAGCAGAGUAAGGAGCUUCCUCCCACAGUGCUCUAAGUCUAAACAAAAACCAGGAGCUGUUCCUUACAUGAGGCUCAAGCUCUCAGCUAUUUCUCCCUUCA